UUCCCUGUGGCUCAGUUGGUAGAGCAUGGUGUUUGCAACGCCAGCCUGGGGUGUGCAACACCAGGGUUGUGGGUUCAAUUCCCACUGGGGAAU
rnacentral:tRNA from 1 species